rnacentral:sRNA from 1 species
AUGCCAUUUAGUCGAGCAGAAAUACAAAAGGCGUACAGAGAGAGGAAGAAGGCCAAGGAGGGUGAAAGUUACCUCCUAAAGGAGAGAACAAGGAGAAUGAAAUAUUAUGUUCCCUCAGCAGAGUUGUCAACCAAGGAAAGAAAACGAAGAAACAAACAGAAUGCAGAGCGAGUAAAGAAACAUCGUGAAAAAAGAAAAACAGAGGUUUUGCAAGCAGAAGAAGACAAUAUAGGAGAGACAAGUGGUUAUGAGAGUAAUUUGACGGCCACAGGAGAAGAGAGGCAAUUGAUUAAGCAAGGAGGUGUGUCACCUCAAACACCAAGAAGUAAAACAGACAGAGAUUUGAGAGAGGCAGCUUGGAAUGAGGUGAGUUGCUACUGUGACCAAUGUUUUUUGGGUGAUAAUCCAAACUUUGACCAUGGUUGGAAAGUACAAAGCUUGAAUAACCGAACCAAUAACCUUAAAAUAAACACAGGAGAGGAUGACAAAUUAGCGGAAGAAUCUGAUAAGGUAAUGGAACAACCACCAACUACAAAUGAACGCAAAAUUGAUCUUAUUGAAGGAGAAUAUGUAGCUGCAAAGUACGAUAGAACCUGGUAUAUAGCAAAGAUUCUACAAAUCGACGAUUCUGACGAAGUAGAGGUGACUUUCAUGGCGAGAAAAAAGCAACUUUUCCAGUGGCCAGCAAGAGAAGACAUCCUUUGGAUACCGGUUACAGAUGUUAUUUGUAAAGUCACAGAACCAGUGUACACAGGAAAAUCUAAAAGAAUGCUGAAACUUCUUCCUGAAGACAAGGAAAAAAUUCUGAAUUUGUUCCAAUGA